rnacentral:rRNA from 1 species
GCGCACUAUUGGAUGUGCGUCUAAGCAUUUAGGCAUGCUUGAUAGGUAAAUCCGUCGAGCUAAGCUGAGGUGUGAUGGGGAGCCAUUUAUGGCGAAGUAUCUGAUUCCACACUGCCAAGAAAAGCCUCUAUCGAGUGAAUAGGUGCCCGUACCGCAAACCGACACAGGUAGGUGAGGAGAGAAUCCUAAGGCCAUCGGAAGAAUUGCUGUUAAGGAACUCGGCAAAUUGACCCCGUAACUUCGGGAGAAGGGGUGCCUACGAAAGUAGGCCGCAGAGAAUAGGCCCAAGCAACUGUUUAGCAAAAACACAGGUCUCUGCUAAAGCGAAAGCUGAUGUAUAGGGGCUGACGCCUGCCCGGUGCUGGAAGGUUAAGGGGAACACUUAGCGUAAGCGAAGGUGUGAACUUAAGCCCCAGUAAACGGCGGCCGUAACUAUAACGGUCCUAAGGUAGCGAAAUUCCUUGUCGGGUAAGUUCCGACCCGCACGAAUGGCGUAAUGAUUUGGGCACUGUCUCAACAGCAAAUCCGGCGAAAUUGUAGUGCAAGUGAAGAUGCUUGCUACCCGCGAUUGGACGGAAAGACCCCGUAGAGCUUUACUGUAGCUUAGCAUUGAAUCUCGGUAUUGUCUGUACAGGAUAGGUGGGAGACUUGGAAGCUUGGGCGUCAGCCUGAGUGGAGUCAUCCUUGGGAUACCACCCUGACAGUACUGGGGUUCUAACCGGCGGCCAUGAAUCUGGUCACGGGACAUUGUUAGGUGGGCAGUUUGACUGGGGCGG